UUGGAGGGCAAGUCUGGUGCCAGCAGCCGCGGUAAUUCCAGCUCCAAUAGCGUAUAUUAAAGUUGUUGCAGUUAAAAAGCUCGUAGUUGAAUUUCGGGAUUAGUACGCUGGUCGUGCCUUCGGUACGUACUGGUGUUACUGAUUUCUACCUUCUGACGAACCAUCAUGUCAUUAAUUUGGUGUGGUGGGGAAUCAGGACUGUUACUUUGAAAAAAUUAGAGUGUUUAAAGCAGGCUCGCGCUUGAAUACAUUAGCAUGGAAUAAUGAAAUAGGACGUUGAUCCUAUUUUGUUGGUUUCUAGGAUUGACGUAAUGAUUAAUAGGGAUAGUCGGGGGCAUUAGUAUUCAAUUGUCAGAGGUGAAAUUCUUGGAUUUAUUGAAGACUAACUACUGCGAAAGCAUUUGCCAAGGAUGUUUUCAUUAAUCAAGAACGAAAGUUAGGGGAUCGAAGACGAUCAGAUACCGUCGUAGUCUUAACCAUAAACUAUGCCGACUAGGGAUCGGAUGAUGUUAUUUUUAAUGACUCAUUCGGCGCCUUACGGGAAAC
rnacentral:rRNA from 1 species